AAAAAAGCCACCAAUUUCACCUAUGGGGUGUACUUACUUUUUCAGGUGACUGUAUGUUUUAUGUUAUGUAUUGAUAUCUUGUAUUUACACCAUGAGUAGGUUUUGAUUUUCAUAUUGAGUUUUCCUUUCUUUGCCUUGCCUCAGUCUCUUUUUUUGGGUUCUUUUUUUGUCAUUGUUUGUUAUUUUUAGUUGUUUAUGUUAAAAGAAUUCUGCAAUUACAUCAAGCUCCCUGAGACCUCAUGACAGUAGGUGUUUGGUGGAGAGUGUUGGUGUUUGGUGGUGCGUGUUGGUGUCUGGUGGAGAGUGUUGGUGUGAGGUGGCGAGUGUUGGUGUGAGGUGGCGAGGGUUGGUGUCUGGUGGAGAGUGUUAGUGUGAGGUGGCGAGUGUUGGUGUGAGGUGGCGAGUGUUGGUGCUGGUUUUUGGUGGUGAGUGUUGGUGUGAGGUGGCGAGUGUUGGUGUGAGGUGGUGAGUGUUGGUGCUGGUGUUUGGUGGUGAGUGUUGGUGUGAGGUGGCGAGUGUUGGUGUGAGGUGGCGAGUGUUGGUGUGAGGUGCUGAGUGUUGGUGUGAGGUGGGGAGUGUUGGUGUGAGGUGGAGAAUGUCGGUGUCUGGUGGUGAGUGUUGGUGUGAGGUGGCGAGUGUUGGUGUUUGGUGGCAAGUGUUGGUGUUUGAUGGAGAGUGUUGGUGUUUGAUGGAGAGUGUUGGUGUUUAGUGGUGAGUGUUUAAUGAUGUGUUUUAGUGAGUAUUUGGUCCUGGUCUUAAACUAACCGUCCUCUAUAAGCAUGAUUACGUUAAUUGAUGGUCUAAUUGCUGACUCUAUUAAUUGAAAGUAUAAGGUUUUAUUGUCCCAGCUGGUUUUCCUGCAGCAUUCCUUUAACACAUCCUUAAACACAUACUUCUCCAAGAGCCAAUUAAAACAAGCACGCAAGACUUCACACGAUGUGGUAGCAGAAGGAAUGAAGCAUCUGGAGGUUCGGCCCAGCAUGGAGCUCCUACAUCUUAGGCACUUAACACCAUCACACCACCUAACCGCUAACCACUCAGGAAGUCUUACCUGAGCCAGAAAGGAAUAAAGUAUGACAGAAAAGUAAGUAAGGGUGAAUGAAAAAUAACUACAAAUUCCCCUACUGUUCACACCUGCAUGAAACAAGUGACUGCAGAGACACAGAAAUGUGAGGACAUCUGAUGAAAGAAGUUUAGAAAAUAGAUAUAUAUAUAUAGAACUGGCUGACCAUGAAAAAAAGGAUCAGGAGGGGUGACAUUUCUUUUUAAAACUGGUCUGAGAGUCAGACUGAGAAAAGAGUUAAAACAGCAACAGGAAUAGAAAAAAAGAAGGGAAAAAAGCGGAAAAGGAAAAUAUAAACCUAACGAAGACUGGCUUUAAAAACUGGUUAGAAGGAGACAGAAAAA
ensembl:lncRNA